rnacentral:rRNA from 1 species
GGAUGAACGCUAGCGACAGGCUUAACACAUGCAAGUCGAGGGGCAGCAUAGAAGUAGCAAUACGUUGGUGGCGACCGGCGCACGGGUGAGUAACGCGUAUGCAACCUACCUAUCAGGAGGGGAAUAACCCGGCGAAAGUCGGACUAAUACCGCAUAAAACAGGGGCACCGCAUGGUGAUAUUUGUUAAAGAAAUUCGCUGAUAGAUGGGCAUGCGUUCCAUUAGGUAGUUGGUGAGGUAACGGCUCACCAAGCCGACGAUGGAUAGGGGAACUGAGAGGUUGGUCCCCCACACUGGUACUGAGACACGGACCAGACUCCUACGGGAGGCAGCAGUGAGGAAUAUUGGUCAAUGGGCGAGAGCCUGAACCAGCCAAGUCGCGUGAAGGGAAAAGAAGGAUCUAUGGUUCGUAAACUUCUUUUGCAGGGGAAUAAAGUGCAGGACGUGUCCUGUUUUGUAUGUACCCUGAGAAUAAGGAUCGGCUAACUCCGUGCCAGCAGCAGC